CAUUACAGAAAGUAAACGCGGAUCAAACCGCGAACUUCUAAACCUUUGACGAUUGACUCAUGUUGCCUCGGCGGGUCCUCCCGCCAGAGGAUACAUCAAAACUCCUGUUUUAACGGUGUUGUCUGAGCUACAAGCAACGAAUCAAAACUUUCAACAACGGAUCUCUUGGUUCUGGCAUCGAUGAAGAACGCAGCGAAAUGCGAUAAGUAGUGUGAAUUGCAGAAUUCAGUGAAUCAUCGAAUCUUUGAACGCACAUUGCGCCCCUUGGUAUCCCGAGGGGCAUGCCUGUUCGAGCGUCAUUUCACCACUCAAGCCUGGCUUGGUGUUGGGCGACGUCCCCUUUGGGGACGCGCCUCGAAACGCUCGGCGGCGUGGCACCGGCUUUAAGCGUAGCAGAAUCUUUCGCUUUAAAGGUCGGGGCCCCGUCUGCCGGAAGACCUACUCGCAAGGUUG
rnacentral:rRNA from 1 species